rnacentral:rRNA from 1 species
UACGUAGGUGGCAAGCGUUGUCCGGAUUUACUGGGCGUAAAGGGCGUGCAGGCGGUUUGUUAAGUGCAGGGUGAAAGCUCCCGGCUCAACUGGGAGAGGUCCUUGCAUACUGGCAAACUCGAGGGAGGCAGAGGAAAGUGGAAUUCCCGGUGUAGUGGUGAUAUGCGUAGAUAUCGGGAGGAACACCUGUGGCGAAGGCGGCUUUCUGGGCCUU